UCCGAGUUGUCCCCGGCAGUCCUUUUAGAGUCCCCGGCAUUACCCGCUGGCAACUAAAAGCAGGGGUUGCGCUCGUUGCGGCACUUAAGCCAACACCUCACGGCACGAGCUGACGACAGCCAUGCAGCACCUGUGCUAGCCCCUUACGGACACCGGCUUUCACCCGCUUUAACUAGCAUGUCAAACCCAGGUAAGGUGGGGAUGACGUCUGUCAGUCAA
rnacentral:misc_RNA from 1 species